rnacentral:rRNA from 1 species
AACGAACGCUGGCGGCGCGUUUUAAGCAUGCAAGUCGGACGGCAAGGCUGGUAGCAAUACUGGCCCUAGAGUGGCGAACGGGUGAGUAAGACGUAGGUGAUCUGCCCCUGGAUGGGGGAUAGUCCGUGGAAACACGGGGUAAUACCGCAUGAGGCCUUGUGGGUGAAGCCAUGAGGUGAAAGGUGCAAUUGCACCGUCUGGGGAUGAGCCUGCGGCCCAUUAGGCAGUUGGCGGGGUAACGGCCCACCAAACCGACGAUGGGUAGCCGGCCUGAGAGGGUGUACGGCCACACUGGAACUGAGACACGGUCCAGACUCCUACGGGAGGCAG